UAAACCAUAAGCAGUAUUUUAAAGUCAGUUUCGUAAGUAAGCUAUAAAUAUUUUUGGCCUCACAGAUCACAUAAUUCUUUCCUAAUCUGGUCUAGAAAUGCAGGUUUGGCUAAAUCCAGGUUUUCUGGAUCGGAAUUAGUCUGAUUUUCGUACGUCUCUACUUAUGUUACCUGGAUUCCACACUGAUCCUGCUUUCUAGAACAGAUCCCAGGGGUGUCAAACUCAGAUCCUGGGAGGCUACAGUGGAUAUGUGGGUCUAUUUCAGCCAUUUUUGUAAUUAUUAACUGAUUAUUGCUACUAACUGCCAGGAUUUUAAAUGACUUGCAUUUUAAUAUUCAGAAUGCUUAACUAUUUUACUUUCAGUUCACCAGUAGUCAAACAGCAAUGAGGUGAAAAGUGAGCCAAUACACAACCAGCUAAACUGAUUCAAUUUGCAUCAUUGUGGUCAUCCUAUGGUACCUUUCAGUAAAAUACCGAAAAAAAGUGAAGGUCUGAGAAAUAUUGGCCUGCUGUAGUUCACGGACCAUUUUAACAGUGCUCCACAGAAACCAUACAAACCAUAGAAAUAAAAUAAUGUGUUCCAUUAACAGUAUGAUUUGGCUUUUAAUUAAGAAAUUGGUUAGAGCAAUAAAGGUGGUCCCAUCAGAGAGAAAACAAUAGACUUACAAGAAUGCUUUAGAUCCCCACAGCCUUACAAAAUGGCUUGUCAUUUGUUAGGUUUCUUUGCAUUGCAAAAAUACUAGUUAUGGAAAAAGAAAAUCAUGGAAGGGUUCUGAACCUUAAAAAAGAAGUCAAUUAAGAUUAAGACAAAAGCAAUCUGUUACAUCAGCAGCAGUAUUUGGUUACUAAUUCUGAAAAUCCCUGUAAUAAAAACCACAGCUAAUAUAGCUGUCCAGAAUCUGAGUUUGACACCACUGGUAUUUAUCAUAAAUGAAAAACUUUAAAGGGAAUAGUAAAAAGGUUGCAUCAUAAUUUAAAAAAUCUUUGUUAAUCUGAAAAUUUCUCUGUUAAAGUAGAGCUGGAAGAAAUAAAAAGCAAAGAAAAAAAAAUGUAAAAUAAAUUGUCGCAUCUUGAUAUGAGAAACCUUAUUCUAAUGCUUAAACAGUCACCUAGGGGAAUAGUAAAAUAAAAAAAUGUACUCUUUAAGAAGUACAGUAUAUAUGUUAAAAUUUUCCUGUUAGAAUACAUUUUAAGCAGCUGUUUAUUUAAAGGCUAUGGAUGACAAAGUGGGAUUCUGUACUAAAUGGUACUGAUAAUCCUGUACAGAAUCACUUAAAUUGAAAUAAUCCAGUUUACAGACUGCCCCAAUUCAGAAUACCUAACAAAUAUUUAUGAGCUCCAUGUAAGCAAAGCACAGGAAGAACAGAUGUAAUUCAAAUUACAAAAAAUAAGAUCAUUGAAAGCUGAAGACUAAUCUGACUCUGAUUCACGCACAGCCAUUCCAGUUAAGAGUUCUCAAUCAGCUUAUCACACCAGUUUUUGGGUUAUGGGAGGAAACUGCAGUACCUGAAGAAGGUUUAGGGGUUGAAGCCUGUCCGUCACUGUAGAUUUUUAAUGUAGAUAAAUAUUUCUGCAUCUCUCUGCCCUGAGGUACUUAAAUAUACAGUAUGUCAUUUCUUUAUAAAUUAUUAUCAAGUCUUCUAUUAAAACUGUAAUCCAAAACAAAUAAAAGAGUUUUUAAUUUUUUUUUUUUUUUACAAAAGUUCACCAUACACAAUGUUAAGUAAAGUGCAGUAUUUCAUAUCAUAGAUUAAAGCAUAGCAAAGGAUUAAGUUGGAUCAGCAUGGAAUGUUAUGUUCCCUUAAUUGGCAGAAUGUCUACCUGACUUUGACAGUAAUUGUAGAAUUCCACAGAAAACUGAGUAAUUAGAAAGUUAUAUUUAUCACCUCUGCUGUACUUAAAGUCUACCACAGCAACAAGAAAAACACAGUGAAAAAGUUUUAAAUAAUUAUAUUAGACAGGAUAUUACUGAAAAAAUAGAAAAGCAGGAACAUUUUUAAGCAAGACUAGUAGACAUAUUGUGAGUGGAAGUUUCUUUUUAUUUUCCUAGUAGAUUCAUUAGAAGUGGCAAUUUUCCAAGUAAAAUGUACAGCCUAAACCUUUUAUACAACUAAUUCUCAACUCUCACUCUUUUGUUUCUUUGGGCCACAAUUCCACUGCGCAUGCAAAGUUGUUCAGAUGUCCCUUGUCUUCUGUCUUAUCUAAAGCCUUCCCCAAAAAUCAGGAAAACUAAAGAUCAAAUAAACCCAUUAGAAGUCAUGCACUCGAGUUCCCUUCUGUGUUUACAAGCACACCCUCGUCCCCUUCUGAUGACCUCACUUCCUGCUUCACGCUUCUACAUCACCCAGACGACUCCUGGAUUUACUCAUCAACCCUUGUACCUAACUUCCUGUCCAUCCGUUAUAUAAAUCCACCUGUUGUACCAA